rnacentral:sRNA from 1 species
GUUUUCGAAUGGUUUCUCGAACUGAAUCUUGCUCAGUUCUGGAAAUGUUUUGGCAUCCCCGCUGCAAGUCCAAGAGGCAGAAUAGCAGAGUGUUGCCAAUCAAUCAACCCAAUAAUUUCAUUCGUCUUCGACACGAGAAUAUUAUUCGGCUGGAAGUCAGGAUGGCGAAUAACCGGUCGAUUUAGUGAGCUUCCCGUUUUGAAGCCAAGGCAUCGCGCUAACUUUAGGUAACCAAACAAAUUUUCGAUGUGACUAGUUAUCCGGGGAAACCUGACAAAUAUUAUGGAUCUCUCUGUAAAGGCGU